ensembl:snRNA U6 U6 spliceosomal RNA
GUGCAGGGUCUCCAGGCUUUCAGCACAUAUACUAAAAUAAGAACUAUACAAAGAAGAUUAGAAUGAUCCCUGCACAGGGAUGUUGUACAAUUUGUGAGAUAUUUCAUGUUUAA